GGAAUAUCCUGGAUAAGUACUUAAUUACUAUUUUUAUUGAGUUUUUAGCCACUUAGCUCCAUUCACCCCCAUUCAUUUUGGACUCGCUCGCGGGCUCCCCCUAGCGGUGGGCGGUAUUUUCUGGUAUAACGGAGAGCUGGGGAGUGGGCAGUCUCUCCAUAAACUGCCUGUAUAACCGCUCUACAUAACUCAGAGGAUUCAUAUAUAUCAUAUUACACCGUAUUAAACAUUUUUAAUAGGUUUCUCAGGUAAAACCAAGCCCCAUAGUUAUUGAGCCAUGUGCAGGUAGCCGAGCUGCAGUGCUGACUGUCCUGGUCAACUUACCACAAGCAGUUUCUGGAGUGCCUCCAACCGGCAGGUCUGGUAAAACCAAGCCCCAUAGUUAUUGAGCUGUGUGCAGGUAGCCGACCUGCAGGGCUGACUGUCCUGGUCAUCUUACCACAAGCAGUUUCUGGAGUGCCUCCAACCGGCCAUUCUGGCAUCGCCGUGGCCAGCGCCCUUAUUGAUACCUCACAGCUGAAGCCGGGCCACUUCAAAGAUAAGAGUCUCAGACAGCCCCUAGUACAGAACCGCAGCUCUCCUGUUUGAACCGCCCGACUGACCUGGACGCACCGCACCGACCUCGGAUCCUGCCCUGUUUGUUUACCCUGCUCCUCCACCUGCCUCUCAAUUUCCUCCUUCUUCACCACUUUAAGGAAGACCUUGAAGUGUAAAUGACGGGGGGCAGUCUGUCAUUAGUAGUCUGUGUUGUACUUCUUUUAAAUCCCGAGCUCCACAGUGCAUCACAUGCACGCCCUCCUCAAAGCCUCUACAGACCAUAGCUGUGCUUCUCUUUCUUCCUUUCUUUCUUUCCUUAUACUCUUAACUACUCUUAACAAAAGUUAUUGAACACUUGUUGAUUGGGCAUCUGAUUAUUGUGUUAUUAUUAUAAAAAAGUUUUGUUUAGAAACUUUAAAGUUUAUUAAACUUCAGUUUUGCCUCUUGUAAUUCUUUUUUUUUUACAGAGCUUGAUAACAUUAAUUUACAGUCCCCUCCAAAAGUAUUGGAACAGUGAGGCCAAACCCUUUUUAUUUAUGCUGUAGACUAAACACAUUUCAGCUUUUAUUUCCUGAAAUUUACAUCUGAACCCACAAACUUUUCUUGUGAGCAAAAUAUUAGAACAUGUGACCUUCAGGUGUGUGUGUUUUUUUUUGUUACAGUCCAGGUGUCUCCUGUUACAUGAAUUAUUCAAGCAACAAAAAGCACUGAUUGUCUACUCUCAGUUUCAGAUUUGUGUUUUACCUGUGCAGAUUGUGCAUUAACUGUAUGGUUAAAGGAGUAAACAACAUGAAAACCAGAGAGCUCUGGGAGUCUAUGAAUGAAAAACAAGCAACUGUGAAGCUGAAAGUAGAUGGAAAAUCAAUCGACUGACAAAGAGCCAUUGCACAAAUAUUGGCCAUAGCCAGAACAAGCUGUGGAAUGAGCUGAAGAAGAAAGUCGUCACUGGUGUACUAAGUAAUAGAUGUCGAACAGGUAGACCAAGGAAAACAGCAGUGGAAUAAGAAUGAAGGUAAGGCUGGAAUUUACGAAAAUGUACAAAUUUUGUGCUAAUUAGUUCAAUUGUUCAGUUGUUUUUUUAUAAAUAAACAGCCUUAGUUUUUAUAUUGUACGUUCGGU
rnacentral:lncRNA from 1 species